rnacentral:snRNA from 1 species
UCUUCACCAUUCUCUCUA